rnacentral:rRNA from 1 species
GGUCAAGCAAUGAAGCGCACACGGUGGAUGCCUAGGCAGCCAGAGGCGAUGAAAGACGUGGUAGCCUGCGAUAAGGUUCGGUGAGGUGGCAACAACCUGUGACCCGGACAUCUCUGAAUGGGGAAACCCACUCAUCAUAAGAUGAGUAUCAUACACUGAAUACAUAGGUGUAUGAGGCGAACCAGGGGAACUGAAACAUCUAAGUACCCUGAGGAAAAGAAAUCAACCGAGAUUCCCCUAGUAGCGGCGAGCGAACGGGGACCAGCCCUUAAGCAUGUGACUGAUUAGGCGAACACGCUGGGAAGCGUGGCCGUAGCGGGUGAUAGCCCCGUAGUCGAAAAUCUGAUCAUGUGAAAUCGAGUAGUGCGGGGCACGUGAAACCCCGUAUGAAUCCGGCAGGACCAUCUGCCAAGGCUAAAUACUUCCUAGCGACCGAUAGUGAAGCAGUACCGUGAGGGAAAGGUGAAAAGCACCCCGGAAGGGGAGUGAAAUAGAACCUGAAACCGUGUGCUUACAAGCAGUAGGAGCAGACUUGUUCUGUGACUGCGUACCUUUUGUAUAAUGGGUCAGCGACUUAUAUUCAGUGGCGAGGUUAACCGUAUAGGGGAGCCGUAGGGAAACCGAGUCUUAACUGGGCGACACAGUCGCUGGAUAUAGACCCGAAACCGAGCGAUCUAUCCAUGAGCAGGGUGAAGGUUGAGUAACAUCAACUGGAGGCCCGAACCAGGAUCUGUUGAAAAAGAUUUGGAUGACUUGUGGAUCGGAGUGAAAGGCUAAUCAAGCUCGGAGAUAGCUGGUUCUCCUCGAAAGCUAUUUAGGUAGCGCCUCACGUAUUACCGCCGGGGGUAGAGCACUGUUUCGGCUAGGGGGUCAUCCCGACUUACCAACCCGAGGCAAACUCCGAAUACCGGUGAGUACAGCGUGGGAGACACACGGCGGGUGCUAACGUCCGUCGUGAAAAGGGAAACAACCCAGACCGUCAGCUAAGGUCCCGAAAUCCUGGUUAAGUGGGAAACGAUGUGGGAAGGCUCAGACAGCUAGGAGGUUGGCUUAGAAGCAGCCAUCCUUUAAAGAAAGCGUAAUAGCUCACUAGUCGAGUCGGCCUGCGCGGAAGAUGUAACGGGGCUAAACCAGGUACCGAAGCUACGGGUUCAUUCUUAGGAAUGAGCGGUAGAGGAGCGUCGUGUAAGCCAAUGAAGGUGAAUUGAGAAGUUCGCUGGAGGUAUCACGAGUGCGAAUGCUGACAUGAGUAACGAUAAAGGGAGUGAAAAACUCCCUCGCCGGAAGACCAAGGGUUUCUGUUCGACGCUAAUCGGAGCAGAGUGAGUCGGCCCCUAAGGCGAGGCCGAAAGGCGUAGUCGAUGGGAAACGGGUCAAUAUUCCCGUACCGGACAUGGUUGCGAUGGGGGGACGAAGAAGGCUAGGUGAGCCAGGCGUUGGUAGUCCUGGUGAAAGUGAGUAGGCUUGGAUCUUAGGUAAAUCCGGGAUCCUUUAAGGCCGAGACACGAGAUGAACUGACCACGGUCAGGAAGUCACUGAUGCCACGCUUCCAGGAAAAGCCUCUAAGCUUCAGAUCAUGUGCGACCGUACCCCAAACCGACACAGGUGGUCAGGGUGAGAAUCCCAAGGCGCUUGAGAGAACUCGGGUGAAGGAACUAGGCAAAAUGGUGCCGUAACUUCGGGAGAAGGCACGCCGGCGUAGGGUGAAGAGACUUGCUCUCCUAGCCCGAACCGGUCGAAGAUACCAGGUGGCUGCAACUGUUUAUUAAAAACACAGCACUCUGCUAACGCGCAAGCGGACGUAUAGGGUGUGACGCCUGCCCGGUGCCGGAAGGUUAAAUGAUGGUGUUAGCCGCAAGGCGAAGCUCUUGAUUGAAGCCCCAGUAAACGGCGGCCGUAACUAUAACGGUCCUAAGGUAGCGAAAUUCCUUGUCAGGUAAAUUCUGACCCGCACGAAUGGCGUAACGACUUGGGCGCUGUCUCAACGAGAGAUCCGGUGAAAUUGAAAUCGCCGUGAAGAUGCGGUGUACCCGCGGCUAGACGGAAAGACCCCGUGAACCUUUACUAUAGCUUCACACUGGACGCUGAUGUUGCCUGUGUAGGAUAGCUGGGAGGCUUUGAACUUUGGACGCCAGUUCGAAGGGAGCCAACCUUGAAAUACCAGCCUGGCAUCAUUGGCGUUCUCACUCAGGUCCGUUAUCCGGAUCGAGGACAGUGUGUGGUGGGUAGUUUGACUGGGGCGGUCUCCUCCUAAAGAGUAACGGAGGAGCACGAAGGUACCCUCAGCACGGUCGGACAUCGUGCAGUGAGUGCAAGAGCAUAAGGGUGCUUGACUGCGAGACAGACACGUCGAGCAGGUGCGAAAGUCGGGCUUAGUGAUCCGGUGGUACCGCAUGGAAGGGCCAUCGCUCAACGGAUAAAAGCUACCCUGGGGAUAACAGGCUUAUCUCCCCCAAGAGUCCACAUCGACGGGGAGGUUUGGCACCUCGAUGUCGGCUCAUCGCAUCCUGGGNNGAGACAGUUCGGUCCCUAUCUGCCGUGGGCGUUGGAUGUUUGAGAAGGGCUGCUCCUAGUACGAGAGGACCGGAGUGGACGACCCUCUGGUGUUCCGGUUGUCACGCCAGUGGCAUUGCCGGGUAGCUAUGGUCGGACGGGAUAACCGCUGAAAGCAUCUAAGCGGGANNNNNNNNNNNNNNNNNNNNNNNNNNNNNNNNNNNNNNNNNNNNNNNNNNNNNNNNNNNNNNNNNNNNNNNNNNNNNNNNNNNNNNNNNNNNUAACACCCAAGGGGUCUGGUCGC